rnacentral:lncRNA from 1 species
CCGAGGGACUCGAAGUCGCGGGAGGCGAGACGGGAGUGGCGGUCAGCAUCGUCCUCACGGAAGCCACGACCCUUGAUCUUCUUAUGAGCAGAAAGAGAGGUGGAAGCGGCGCCAGUGAUGGCGGACUUGAGCUUAGGCAAGGGAGCUUGAGGGGAGGCAUCGCCGGCGGCGUCCUCGUCCAUGAGGUCAUCGUCCUCCGGUUCAAAAUCCACGGCCUCCACGUCACCGCUCGCCAUCCGGUGAUCUGUACGCGCGUAUAUUUGUUUGUUUCCCUUUUAGAAUGUG